UUUUUCUUAACUAUGUUUAGCACAUCGAUAUUUCUACAUUUAUAUAUUCAUGUUUUAUGUUUGUUUAUUAUAUUUAUGCUUUUAUUAUAGUUUAUUUAUAUUAAUUGUUUAUUUAUUUUUUAGUGUAAUGUUUGAAUUUUAUUUUUAUAAAAUUAAGCAAGCCUCAUGUUACUAGGAAAUUACAAGACAAACGCUAUCCAGAC
rnacentral:lncRNA from 1 species